rnacentral:lncRNA from 1 species
CCUUCUUCUUAUCCCUCCUUCUUCUCUCCUCCUCCUUCUUAACCCUCCUUCUUCUCUCCUUCUCCUUAUUCUCCUUCUUCUUCUCCUCCUCCUUCUCCUUCUUCCUUUUCAUCUCCUUCUUCUCUUCUUGCUUCUUCUCUUUCUUCUUCAAUUUAGCUUAUUUUCCCCAACAAAGACAUACUUAUCUAAUUAUCCUCCAAAUGACAUAAUUAGCUUAGUUAGGGUAAAAACAUCAUAAGAAUCUUGGUUAGCUCACAACUUAGCUAAUUAUCCUCCAAAAUGACAUAAUUAGCUUAGUUAGCUCCAAAAUG